UGCUGGGGUCGUUACCAUAGUGAUCGUAAACUUACAGCUUCGUUAGCUGUGAUUUAUUUGUGGAAGAAAAGGUUUUUUAAAUCACUCCAACACGGACUUUCUUCUGAUAUGGAAGGUACAUCUCGAGCUUUUGGGAUAACUUCAGAGAUAAUUCCCCUUUCCUUACCCAAAGGAACAGAAAAACUGUGUGAACUUUGUCAGAGACCAGCGAACCUGCAGUGCUCGGAGUGUCGGGUCACCUUUUACUGUGAUGCAGAACACCAGCAAGCAGACUGGUUGGGGAUCCACUGGAGAAUCUGUCCAAUGCUCAUUCCCCUCCGUACCCCUUCACUCCUCAGUUUUGAGAAGGCUUGCCAGAUUCAACUACAUCUCAUAAAGGCGGAGCUGGUGGAGAUCUGCAGGUCAGUGGCUCAGAGCAAACUAUCUGAGGGAAAACAUGAAGAGGCUCUGCCUGCUGCUCACUUCUGCCUACGCUGCUCCAUCGAUGUCCAUGGCCCCAACUCUGUCCAACUGAUUCCUGUUUACCUGCUGCUGGCUGAGGCCAACAUGGGUUUGGGUAAUCUAGCCUCGGUGGCAGAGCUCCUGUCCCAGGCACAGUGGGCAGUGUUGCAGAUCCCAGAGUGUGGUCAUGAAGUCUACCACCGGCUGCACAGGAGCCUGGGCUGCCUCAACACAGCGACUGGAAACCUGGAUGCAGCCCUGGUCAACUUUGCAAAUGAUAUAUACUAUGCCAGUGAAGAGUACGGUCUGGAUAGCACAGUCACCUGUAGAGGCCACUUCCUCAUGGCUGAUGUGUUUGCUAAACAGGGGGAGAUAACCAUCGCUCGUUCCUUGUACUCUGAGCUGGCACGUACUUGGCACGGUCACCUGACCAAACACCUCAAGACCCACAUCCAAAAUAUUGAAAAUCCUCGCAAACUGUUUGAGCCCUCAUUCGACAAAUUCCAGCUAACCGAAGUAGACGAGACUUUAAGAACUAUACUGGACUUUUGGCAGAAUAACCCCAGAAAAGACUCGGGUCAGAUUGCCUUGGUGGCACUCUGCCUCGCCACGCUGUGGUUCCUCGGAGGAGACUCCCUGAAGUCCACAUUGUGUGCUGUAAUUUAAAAGGCUGGCCUACAUCUAAGAAUUAUUGUGAUGUUGCAAGGAUGGAAAACACGCACUGGGAUUUGGCAACAUUGCCCUGCAGGCCUGCCAGCUGAUACGAAACCAUGACCUGACAGAGCCCAUCCAGGGCCUGCUGCAGCUGGUGCAGAGUGCGCAAACAGAACCACGUCCUGGUUCUGACUAGUCACCAUAGUUGCCCCUGUCUGGUUUGACUGCAUGGGGAUGUGCUUCAUCAGGAUGUUUGUUCAGACCAAUGCUCAGUCACUUAAUUGGAUGUACAGUGAGCAGGGGAAUUAGUAACAAAUAAAAGUUCAAGAUUACAAAGUU